AUCCAGCUGAUAAGUCCGGAAUAGGACGAAAUGUGCAUCCUGAAU
rnacentral:hammerhead_ribozyme from 1 species